rnacentral:lncRNA from 1 species
GGUCAUUAUUAGGAAUAAUAAGUUUACAAUUCACAGAAAAUAAGAUCUGGCCUAAGUCUGUUACCCAACUUCCAAAUUCACUUUAAGGAAGGCCCAAAACGAACAUUCAGGAGGGAGAAGUUAAAGCCAAAAAUGUCCAAAGGCACAUGUUGCAUCAAAAUUACAAGCAAUGAUUAAGAUUACGAACAUAUGUUUUUCUCAUAAGCCAAGCUAAUGUUUUAAUCUUGCUACAUCAUAAUCAACACCGUGCUAACAGGGUUCGAGCGGAGAGAGUGAGCUAUUAUAUGGAAGCGUCCAUCUUUGGUCUUCCUUUGCUAUAUUUCACUUCCGUUCGGGUGUGCCUCCAUGUGAUGAUUAACUAUAAUGUUCCAAAAUAAGGUCAAAAUUAAGAUAAGUAUCAGAUAGUUACAUCAUUUCUUUUAAAUAAAAUCCUAAUCCAAAAACAAGAUAAUCCUAAUUUAAUACAAAAUGUAUUUGAAGACCAUAAAGUAAACAAGGUACUAUUCUACCAAGAUUUCUCGCCAGCAAGAAGUAGUGGCAACGCCACUCAAAACAACUUCCAUAGAAUUAGGGACGCGUAGAAAUCCCUAACGAAUUUAGUACUAUCAGCAAAAAUACAGCUCACCAAUUCUUAUCCCAAAAAGAAAUUCUCCUAUAAAAAGGAGGCGAAAAUAACAAAUCAGAGAGGAUUGGAGACCCUACAAAAACGCUGUCGAAUUCAAUCCCAAACACCUCACACAAAGCUUGAAAGCCCUAAGUUAUUCAAAGUUUCUCAUUGAAACUUUGAAGUAAUCAAGCUAAAAUGCCAAACACGAAGAAGGUGAAGAAGGUGAAGAAGGAGAGAUUUAAAGAAAAGGAGGAAACUUAUCUAAAUCACGCCGGAGAAAGCAUCGUCGCCGGACCAACUCCGAUUGAGUACUCUUCUUCUCCCUCCUUUGCUUGAAAUCUACAUAUCAUCUCAUUCGCCUUUCCAAACUGAGUAAAAACCCCUUGAUAUUUUCUAUAAAUUGAAACUAUGGAGGUUUUAAUUUAGAAAUUAGGGUUUACUGUUUAAACUGCUUUUUGUUGUUGAUUUGUUUUGAUUUGUUGGUUAGGAGGAGUGUAGGGUUUUGUUUGGUCACAUUGAAUGUCGCUUCGGUUGAGGGUUGAGGUUUUUGUUUCGCUUUGAGUGUCGAUCCGGUUGUUUGAGAGAGAUUUAGGGAAAGUUAAGGCCGGAUUUGGAUUCUCCGGCCAAAACAAGGAAGGGUUGGUGUUGGUGUUACGUUGUUUUGGGGGUGGUGUUGGCCGGAGAAGAAGGUGGCGCCGCCGCCGGCGGCCGGCCACCACCGUCUUCUCCGGUGGGCUCCCGUCUUCACCGACAAAAAUUUGCAGAGCGUGAGAGAGAGUUUUGAAAUGAGGAGAGAGAUUCGAGUGUAUCAAAUGAACUUUCUCUCUCUCAAAACUCGUUUUAUGCAUUGGUGACCUUAACGUGCAUGGAGGCCAAGUGGCCUUCCCUGAGUGUGCCACGCGUGGUUGGGUGUUGGGUCAACUAGGGGAUCCCAUGUCGAUCCCCCCACCGUAUGACGGUGUUCCCUCGUUGACCACCUGUUUGAUCUGUUGACUAGGUCAGAUCUUUGGAUCUGACAGUCAGUUUUUGUCAUCCUGAGUCAACAGGGUUGACCAGGAAAGCUUUGGACUGUCUCUUGGAGGUAGGCCUCCGGUUUGGGCCCGAGUACAAUUUAACUUCUGCACCCCUUUUGUGCUAGCUGUGAGCAUCCUUUUUGGGCUAGAAGGCCCAAGUUUUUUUUUGUUGAUUAUCCAUAUUUAUUUGUUUUUGUGUGUGUAUACGAAUUUGUUUUAUUUAAAUUGAAAACUUUAUUACUUAACCAAUUCUUUUUUUGUAUAAUUAAUUAAUAUCUUACUUAAUAUAUUUUUUUUUAUUUUUACCAUUUAACUUAGUUAAUAAUUUUUUUAUUCCGGGGCUUGCUUGAGUUAUUAGCUUACACUUGCUCGAUUAAUUUGUUUAUGCAAAUUUCUGUUUCAUCCAAAAAUUGUGCAUCGCGUUUUAUUUUCAUGAUGUCCACUUGUUAACUACAUCAAAUAUUUACUAAACCAUUUAAAGAAAUCAAAUAAUUUUCGAUUCAAUAUUGAGCUCAUUUUCAAAUACCCAUGUAAGUCGAUCGCUUUUGAGCAUCGCCAUCAACCUCAAAUAGCUUACUCUUGGGCUUUCUUACAAUGAGACCUAUUCGAUUUUAAUUAAUCGAGUAGAUGAUUGAUACACUAAAAUAAUAAAAUUUAUCCAUAAAUGCAAAUUUAAAACCUCGAUCCCACGUCGAGUAUUUUCAUUCAAACUCAAUUAAAAUACUUAAUCACAAUUAAAUACCAUUUCAUUUGGGAAUGAAAAGAGGGAUGGUUUUGAGUUUUCAACUCCUCUCCUCAAUUAUUUGAAUACGAGUUCUCUUACUCGGUUAGUCAAAUAAUUGUCAUUUUUAUCCACCUAAACACAAUCAAAACGGAUUAUUUUUAUGAUAGAGAAAUGGAAAGGGAGAUGGUUUUAAGCCUUUAACUCCUCCCCUCGAUUGUUUGAAUAUGAGUUUUCUUACUCGGUCAGUUUGACACUCGUCAUUUCUUUACAAACUCCUAAAUCCGAUUAAAUCAAAACAUUCUUAUAAUAAGUUAAAUGAAAAGGGAGAUGACUUUGAGCCUUCAACUUCUCUCCUCAAUUGUUUGAAUACGAGUUCUCUUACUCGGUUAGUCGAAUAAUUGUCGUUUUUUCCACAAAUUAAUAAAUUAAUCAAAUCAUUUUCAUAAUAAAUUACACGAAAAGGGAGAUGGUCUUGAGUAUUCGAUUCCUUUCCUCAAAUGUUUGGAUAUGAGUUGCCUUACUCUGCCAUUCGAGCACUUGUCAUUUAUCUAAAAUGCAUCAACCAUACAUAAACCUAUUUCCAUAACUACUCAGAUGAAACAGAAAGUGGUCUAGAGUCUUCUAUUCCCUUUCCCGACUAUUAGGAUACGAGUUGUCUUACUCAACUAUCCGAGUAUUCGUCAUCCAUUCAAAAACACCUUAACUAUUAUUAAAUCCUUUUAUAAUUAUGGAUGAAAAGGGAGAUGGUCUAGAGCCUUCGAUUCCUCUCCUCGACUAUUAGGACUUAACUAUUAUUAAAUCCUUUUAUAAUUAUGGAUGAAAAGGGAGAUGGUCUAGAGCCUUCGAUUCCUCUCCUCGACUAUUAGGAUACGAGUUGUCUUACUCGACUAUCCGAGUAAUCGUCAUCCAAAAAAAAUAUCUCAACACAUCAAAUACAUUCUCCUCGCCCUCGUGCGAUCGAAACCAAUCAAACAAAACAUCCAACAUAUUAAUCCAACUUGUCACCCUCGUGUGAUUAAGACUCUUUUUAGAAAGAACAUCAUUUAAAUCCCUUCUAACGCGCAUAACAAACUAGUGCUUAAGCCUCCGUCGAGAGUAGACAAGCCGAUGUUUAGCCUUUAGAAUACGAUCUAAACAUAUGUUCACUAAAAGACACCAACCAAUCGUAGUUCCCCGAACUACGAAUGCUCUGAUUUCCUUAUUACACCAUAAGGAUACGUAGGCACGAGAUUGCGAGAUCUUGGCGAGCACACUAAUAAAAUACCUCCCUAUUCCCCCUUCUGAGGUUUCCAUCCAUUUGUUUUCAAUAUUUUUAUCACUCGAAGAAAACAAACAACACUAAUUAACACUCAAAUCGCAAAUUAAACUAAAAGGUUCCCGUUGAGUACAACGGACGUGAGGGGUGCUAAUACCUUCCCCUUAUUGUCUAUGUCUUAUUUGGGGCUCUCUGUUGGUGGUGCUUUGUGAGAUAGGCUCUCUAUCCGAGUCUGAGAAAAACCAUAAGUUUAAGUUGGCGGUUGCAUAGUGGACGCCCACAAGGAGUCUUCCUUAUUGGGAAGAUACGAAGACCCCGCAUAGAGGAGAUUUUCUAGAGAUAUUGUUGCCCGACGAGUUUUCGUCACGAUGAUAGUAUUCUCAAGUUGGAUCAAUGACUCUAGGGACCUUUUAACCCACUAUAUCCGGCGGUUAUGUAGUAUUUACCUGAAAAGUUUCAGACUUGUUGGGUUAAUACAAAAGCCCCAAUCAGAUGAGAUCCCUUGGGCGUAUUACUACCUUACAGUAAUAUUCCCAACCUCGAUCUAUGACUCUGAAAACCUUAUUAGAACCUUGGACUCGAGAGUUGCGUAGUAUGGACCCACUAGGAGUCUUCCUCUUUGGGACCAUACGAAGGCCUCACCUAGACGAGACUCUUUUUAGGGACGUUAUUGGUGGAUGAGCUUUCAUCAUGACAAUAACCUUCCUAAAUAGCGAUUGAUGACUUUGGGAACCUACUAACUUUUGCAUCUUCCAAAAGGGUUUUUGUUGGUCAUCAAGGAUACCCACUCUCAUGGCCCGUAUGUUGACUUUCCUGUGGCAUGCAUAACAUUAUUCAUAACAUGAAAUUCAUAUUAUUUUAUUUUCAAGGAAUUUGAGUAUCAUAAGUUGCAGGAAUUCAAGAAGCAUGGAAUCAAGCAAAAGAAGCAUUUACUCUUUCAAGUUUAAGGAUCCCGAUCUAAGAAGCUUGCAUGACUUGGUCUCCCAACAGCACCCGGUAUACAUAAUCAAUUUUGGGACGAACUAUGGCAAUCUGCUAAACAUCCUCAACCAACGAGUGGACCAUACAACUUUAGUCACUCUGGCCCAAUUCUAUGACCUACCUUUAAGGUGUUUCACAUUCCAAGAUUUCCAGCUAGCACCAAUGUUGGAAGAAUUAGAGCAUCUUGUUAGGAUUCCUAUGAAGAACAAGCCACUGUUUGAAGGCGUGUAUGAAUCUUUGCCACUUGAGAUCAUUGCUAGAGCGCUUCACAUGGACGAAAUGGAAGCAGAGGCUAACCUAGAGGUCAAAGGGAAUACCAAAGGGUUUUCGCCAAGCUUUCUCUUGGAAAGAGCUCAUACCCUACUAAAAGCAGAAAGUUGGGACGCUUGUUACUCUGCUAUUGCGUUGGCCAUCUAUGGCAUCAUCCUGUUCCCAAAUAUGGAUGGUUUUAUAGACAUGGCUGUUAUUUACGUCUUCCUCAACGGAAACCCGGUACCCACCUUGUUAGUUGAUGUUUACUAUUACAUGAGCCAUAUGUACACCAUGAAGAAAGGAAUGAUUACUUGUUGUGCUCCUUUAUUAUAUCAGUGGUUUCUAGAACAUCUUCCAAAGACAGGUGUUUGGGUAGAACAGACAGAUGCUAGUUGGCCUCAGAGGUUGGGGUCGCUCUGAUCCAAAGAUCUUUCUUGGUGUUCCAAAGAAUAUAGCAACAUGGACAUCAUAUUCAGCUGUGGAGAUUUCCCUAAUCUACCACUUAUUGGAACUCAAGGAUGUGUAAAUUCUAACCCGGUUCUAUCACUAAGACAACUUGGGUACCCAAUGGAAGGCCCUCCAGAUGCGAGGCCUUUGGAAGCUUUCUUGUUGCUUGACUUUGGGGUUGAGAAUCCUAGCUUGUUCCAAAGAAUCAGAGAGGCUUGGAAGAAUGUCAGUCAAAAAGGGAGAGCUGAUUUGGGAAGAGCUAAUGGGAUUACAAAAGAACCAUAUUUUCAUUGGGUAAAGGAAUGGGUGGAGAUGAUCAAAAUACCAUUCCUCACUCGGAUACCUGUACCUCUUCCUGAACCUUAGCUCACCCAUAUCCCUGUUGAAGAGGUUGAUGAACUCAAGACCACCAUGGCAAAAUUAGAAAGAGAAAAUGAAGAGUUGAAGUUAAAACUCCAACAAGUCAUCAAUGAGAAAAACACCAUGAAGUGGGAACUUGAGAGAAAGGAUGUACAGCUUCAAGCACAUGUGGAAAAGUUUAACAAAGAAGAGCAUAAGAGGAAAAAGAUCAAAGUGGGACUAGAACAAGCUGACCUUUGUCUAGAUACUCUUAAGGGUCAAUUGCGAUAAGCCCAGAAAGAAUGUCAAGACAAUGAGCAUUGGUGGCAUUUGGACACGAAGGAAAACAAGACGAUAAGAGAUACACUUGGGGCUCAGAUAAAAGAACUCACCAUUUCUGUUCGUCAUGAAAAGGCUGAAGCAGAUCAAGAACGCCGACUCAAAAAUAUAGCCACCGAAGCCUCGAGAGUUUCACCCAUAAUAUGGGAGGAGAAGUGUCGAGAAGUAAGAGAUGCAAAAGAGUCUGUCAGCUAUUGGAAGAGUCAGCUAGAGUCAUUACACCAAGACAACUCCAUAUGGUUGAAGGAACGAGAGUAUGUGAUUGAAGAUUAUGAAUCCUUUAAGAAGACCAUAGACUUCUUGCAAGGAGAUAGGGAUAAGUUCUGUGUAAAGCUCGAUGGGCUGGUGGGAUUCUAUAAUUGGGCGGCUAAAGAACUAACAUGGAAGUUAAGAGACACGGUUGAAGAAUUGAAGGAAGAUAGCACUCUUCCAGCCAUAAUCAAUUUCAUUUUCCUCUGUAGAGGGUUGCUGAAGAGAUUCAAGGAAGAACUAGAAGAACUCCAAGCCAGAAAACCUGCAGUUUAAUUUUCCUAUGUUUUAUAUUUUGUUACUUUGACAAUGUAUUUUGAACUAGAGCCUUUUGGAUCCCUACGUUAUGUACUUGAAAUAAUGAAACUCGAAUGAUUCCUUGAAAAUAAAAUACGCAUAACAUUCGCAUUCUCACUAUGCAUCAUGCUUCAGAAAAGAAAACUCCAAAAAAAACUUACCCAACCUUUUUACCCUCUAUCCAGCAACGUUGACUAAUCAACACCGAUACGAGACGUGAAGCAACUAUAAGAUGACGUUGGAACAAGUUGAAGCUAAUCAGGAUACCAUGAGGACAGACAUCACCGCGAUCCAAGGGAAGAUGGAUCAACUGCUAGAGGCAAUGCUAACAAUCACCCUAAGAGAGAGGGUCGUGGAUGCAGAAAUUGGGGCAAGGAAGAAUGAUAGCACAUCAGGACUGGUCCAACAAGACGAAAGCUUCAUUCAUGCUAAGAAGAGUCUGGUUCAUAUACCGGUAGGGAACAAAGGGGAUGGAGAUCGUGCAGAGCCCUCUGAUGCGUCUGCUCAUUAUGGAUCUGAAAUGGGAGAUGACCCAUACGACGUUUCCUAUGUGCCUGAUCAACCAAAGCCUAAGAUACUUCCAAAUCCUGCUGCGGAUAGGCUUCGUGCCUUGGAAAAGAAGAUCAAAGCUAUAGAGGGGAAUAAUAUCUUCGACGCCGCUGCCAUGAACAUGCGUCUGAUGUCAAAUUUGGUCAUCUCGACUAAAUUUAAAACUCCUAAUUUCGAGAAAUACAAAGGUCGGACUUGUCCAAGGAGUCACCUGGUAAUGUACUUCAGGAAAAUUGAAGGAGAAUUGCGGUCCAAAACGCAGCGGAAAUUAAAAUUUUCUCCUUUAGAGAUCCUUACGAAUGGUCAUGAUCAGUGAUAGAAUAUUUACCUCUUGUGACGGUUGAAAACCUUUAGGUUGCAGAAUCUCUUGUGACGAUCAAACCUUUGAUGCAGAUCCGAACGAUCACGAACGUUGAACGAUGACAACGUCUCUACUCAGUCCACACGAACGGAUUCCUUCAAUCUCAGUGCUAGCUGGUACGAAUGAAGGCUUGAGUGAGAGAGAGAGAAAACGAAAAUAAUGCAACCGCCAUGAAUGCUUCUGCACAGGGUUCUAUUUAUAGAACCACUUGUAUGGGCUUCAAGCUAAAAGCCCACUUAAUGUAUUUUGGCCCAUUCUUAUAUAUGCCAAAAUCACUUAAGCCCAUGAUACCUUACCAUAUUUCGUAUUCUACUCAAGUACACCGUACCUUACUAUUUCUAUAAUUCACUUAAGGGCACCGUACCUUACAGUAUUCUUAGUUACUCUAUCUCUCAUCAAUCCGUCCUUUGUGUGUGACCCUGUAGGUUUUCGUGACGUUGGCAAUUAUAUUAAAUCACGCAUUUAACAUAAUAAACAGUGAGCGGUAUCUAGCAACACAUCACUGCUACCCAAGACACGAAAAUGUCAAGUGAUCUGACAAUUCCUUCUGUGAUAUACUUAUAUGUAUAAUUACCCUUUUGCCCUUAUGUCUAUAUGAACACAGGCAUAAACCGUGUCAUCCUUGUCCAGUUCAAUAUUGGGCCCAUAGACAUUUAUCCUUUUAUGCAGGAUGGGCAAAUUCCAUCUAGGUCACUCAUGUCCCUCAGCAUGCUUCGUGGAGUACCAUCAACUGUCUUUAUGGUUAUCCAGUACGGACAAUGUUUGAUCAGCAAUAAAGCACUCAAAUCUACAUCUAGGGUCCAUAGUGGUUUCAGGUCGAAGAAUGGUAUACACCAUUAUCACCAUGAGAAUAACUUAUGACACUUUGCAUAACUUUCUAUAUAGUAUUCUCAUACGGGUCAAUCCGUAUAAAUAUUACUCUUAAUAUUCAUACCUAUGUUUAAGACUUGAUAACUCUUUAUCCAUGAUCCAUGAGAUGUGAUCAUCAGUCUACAAACAUAAUAGUCUUAAUGCUUUAAUGUUAUCCCACUUCACACUAAAGCUCGACUACGGAUACUUUAAGAACAGUGCCCUUAUGUUUAAUGUGUUCUCAUGAUUAAGUCACACUUAAUACAUUAAACGGACUAUCUAUUCUAGGGACUUUAUUAAACAAACGUAAUAAAGAAAAAGCCCUUUUAUUAUUAAUAAAUAAUUCGAUACAAGUACCAAAAGUAUUGGCCUCUAGGGCUUACACCAACAAAAAUGGCUGCCCAUACUGAAAACGACAAGCUGCUUAUACACUGUUUCCAAGACAGUUUAAGUGGAACGUCUCUAAGGUGGUACAUGAGCUUAGAGCAAAGGCGGAUUCAAAGCUAGGAAGAUUUGGCUGACGCAUUUCUCCGUCAAUACAAAUACAAUUUAGAUAUGGCGCCUGACUGGAUGCAGUUACAAGGGAUGGCCAUGAAUGAAAAGGAGUCAUUUAAAGAAUACGUCCAACGAUGGAGAGAGUUGGCUGCUCAGGUAGAGCCACCGUUGUCGGAAAAAUAAAUGAUUGGAAUAUUUGUUGACACAUUGAAGGACCCUUUCUUUGAUAGGUUGGUGAGUAGUGCAGCGUCCGACUUUGUGCAUCUAGUCACAAUCGGAGAUCGCAUAGAAAAAGGGUUAAGGGAUGGAAAGAUUCAAGGAGAAAUAGAAGCCCCUAGCGCACCGAAAAAGUACUCUGGAGGAUUCCAGAAGAAAAGAGAAGGUGAUACGAACGCUAUAUCCAUAGGCUACAAGGGGAAGCAACAGGCUUCAUAUGGCCAAGUCGCCGCGGUAGUACCUAUACCCUAUCAGCAACCAAUACAGCAACAACAAGUGUAUCAACAGCAACACCAACAACAUCGUCAACAACAGAAUACCGCUCCACCAAGGCAAUUCAAGACAAGACCCCCGAGAAGGCAACUUGACCCUUUACCAGUGCCUUAUAUCCAAAUAUUCCCGUACUUGCAAAAGGAGGGACUUUUGACGUUAAGGGAACUAAAACCGGUUGUUUUUCCAUAUCCACCCGGAUAUGAUGCUAACACCCAUUGUGAGUUUCACAUGGGAGCGCCUGGCCAUACCUUGGAGAAUUGUUGUGCAUUUCAAAAUCGGGUACAAGACUUGAUUGAAGCAAAGGCUAUCACCUUCACUCUGAGAGGCCCGAACGUGAACACCAAUCCCAUGCCAACACAUGGAGGUGCUUCCCUCAGUGCCAUUGAGGAGAGUGAUCAAGGUGAAUUGAUUCUUAAAGUGGAAGAAAUUCAAAAUCCUAUCACCAUGAUAGGUACACAGCUGCUAAAGAGUGGUCUAAUCCCGGUGGAGCUAGUUGAUGAAGAAAACGAUAAAAGGUUGAGGAAUUUUAUACAACGAAUGUUAGAUCAAGGCGAGUUACAAAUUAAUCGCCGUGUCAAAAGAAAGAGCGAAGAGGAAGUAGCGGUGGUUGACAUCCCGUAUGAUGCGAUUAAUGUGGAAAUUCCUAUAAACCCAUUGGUGAUAGAAUUUCCAACACCAUUUGCAUACGAGGACGAGAAGGUGGUACCUUGGAUAUAUCAUCCCAGAGCUUUUAAGCAAGGGCAGGAAAAUCGACCUUUGGUAAUCAAUGAACCAAAUGUCACUUCAAUUAUGGGGCCAGCUGGAAUGACGUGCAGUGGCCGGGUGUUCACACCAAGGGCUGUUGAUGUUUCUGCAAAAGCUAAAGGGAAGGAAAUUGCUACUCCUAUCCAAAUCCCCGUCCCUAAUCAAGAAAUGAAUUUAUCUCCUAAAGCUGCAGUCACUCGUGAAGAGGCCGAGGAAUUUCUGAGGAUAAUCAAGAAGAGUGACUACAAAGUGGUGGAUCAAUUGAAUCAAACCCCUUCAAAAAUCUCCAUGUUAUCUUUGUUACUCAGCUCAGAAGCACACAGAAACUCGUUGAUGAAAGUGUUAAGAACUGCGCAUAUCACAAAAGACAUAACGGUGGAAUAAUUUGACGAUGUGAUAGCUUGUGUAACCACUGGAAAUUUUUUGGGUUUUAAUGAUGACGAGUUGCCGGUCGAGGGAAAGAACCACAACAAAGCUCUACACAUCUCCUUGAAAUGCAUAGACAAUAUAUUGUCAAGGGUAUUAGUAGACACAGGUUCCUCGCUGAACGUCAUGCCAAAAACCACUUUGGUAAAACUACCAAUGGACGGGAUGAAUAUGAAGCCCAUCACUCUGAUUGUAAAGGCGUUUGAUGGCUCAAGGCGAGCAGGAUAUGGGAGGUUGACCUACCGAUUAAAAUUGGCCCGACUAUCUUCACUAUCACAUUUCAGGUAAUGGACAUACAUCCCGGAUAUAGCUGCCUACUUGGGAGACCAUGGAUUCACUCUGCAGGCACCGUCACUUCCACUCUACAUCAAAAGUUAAAAUUCAUCACGAAUGACAAGAUGAUUUUGAUUGGUGGAGAGGAGGAUAUCCUGGUUAGCCACUUAACGUCUUUCCGAUAUAUCGAGGUGGAUGGUGAGAUCACCGAGACACCAUUCUAAUCCUUGGAGGUGGUAAAUGUAAUGGUCGUUCAACAGACGUCGGAAACAUCAAAAUCAGGGCCAUCCAUAGCCUCGUGGCAAGGAGCUAAAGUUGUUAUGGAGAGUGAAAAUGCUCAAGACUGGGGCAAGGUGGUGGAAUUGCGAGAGAAGCGGGACAAGUUUGGUUUAGGGUAUGACCCGUCAUCGAAUGAAGUCGGUAACCAACAUGACAAAGAGCAGAUUCCUUCUAUGGAAGAAACGUUCACCAAUGCGGGCCAUAUCUUUGGAAAUCAGGUGGAAAUGAUCAAUGACGAAGCUCACGAAGAGGAGGUGUCUAGCUGGAUACGACAAGCCGUGCCCAAUGAAGAACUGAAGAACUGGAAGGCCGUGGAAAUCCCCCAAUUUUUCCAAAAAGUAAUUUUAUUGUUUUAAACAAAACCCUGUGCUCUGCCCAAGGCACAAUGGCGUGUUGUAGGGCUUCCUUUAUCUUUCAGAAGUUUUUUGAAUAUCAUUAAUAAAAUGGCGAUUUGCAUUCAAAUUUUUGUUUCUUUCCUUUCGUUUUUUAUUACAAUAAAAUGGCAUUAAUUCUUAUGCACGCAAUUUCUAAAUAAACUGCAUAAAUCAUAACACGCAGAGACACCACUGAGACCAUUGAUAACGACACUGCUAGGGUCUGGCAUGAUUUUGACUGUCCAAUUUACCAAGCCGAAGACAAAGUGAGGGAAGAUUGUGAACUCCCUGAAGAGUUGGCCAAAUUACUCAGACAAUAAGAGAAGGUUAUUCAACCACACCGGGAGGACGUCGAAGUUAUCAACCUGGGAAUAAAAGAAGACAAGAGAGAAGUAAGGGUAGGCGCCGCGCUUCAAGAUAUAGUAAAGACAAGACUGAUAGAGCUCCUCCACGAAUAUGACGAUGUGUUUUCUUGGUAAUACCAAGAUAUGCCCGGGUUAGACACUGACAUCGUGACCCAUAAGCUUCCCCUUAAAGAAGAAUGCUCUGCCGUCAAACAAAAGCUAAGAAGAACUCGGCCGGAUAUGGCUCUCAAGAUCAGAGAAGAGGUGAGAAAAUAGUUUGACGCCGAUUUCCUAAAAGUCUCUAAGUACCCACAAUGGGUUUCCAACAUCGUACCGGUACCAAAGAAAGAUGGGAAAGUCCGCAUGUGCGUCGACUAUCGAGAGCUAAACAGAGCUAGUCCCAGAGACGAUUUCCCAUUACCUCACAUUGAUGUAUUGGUGGAUAACACAACUCAGUUCUCCGUAUUUUCCUUCAUGGAUGGCUUCUCUGGUUAUAACAAAAUUAAAAUGGAUCCGGAAGACAUGGAGAAAACCACGUUCAUCACCCCUUGGGGCACCUUCUGUUACAAAGUGAUGCCAUUUAGUUUAAAGAAUGUUGGGGAAACAUAUUAACAUGCUAUGGUGACUCUCUUUCAUGACAUGAUUCAUAAAGAGAUUGAGGUGUAUGUUGAUGAUAUGAUUUCCAAAUCCUAGACAGAAGAAGAGCACAUCACUAACCUGGAGAAACUGUUUGCUCGGUUAAGGAAGUUUAGGUUGAGACUUAACCCUAUCAAAUGCACAUUUGGGGUUCGAUCUGGGAAGUUUUUAGGCUUUAUUGUAAGCCAAAAGGGAAUUAAAGUGGAUCCUGAUAAGGUCCGAGCCAUUCAGAUAUUGCCUGCACCGAGGACUGAGAAGGAAGUUCGUGGGUUCUUGGGAAGACUGAAUUACAUCGCCAGGUUUAUCUCUCACCUUACUGCCACAUGCAAACCAAUAUUCAAGCUUCUAAGGAAGAAUCAAGGUGUGGAAUGGAAUGAUGAUUGCCAAAUAGCCUUCGAAAAAAUCAAAGAAUACUUACAAGAGCCACGAUUCUGAUACCCCCUGCGGAAGGAAGACCUCUCAUCAUGUACUUAACAGUACUCGACGAGUCCAUGGCUUGUGUAUUGGGAUAACAAGAUGAGACUGGUAGAAAAGAGCAUGCCAUAUAUUAUCUGAGCAAGAAAUUUAAUGUUUGCGAGACCAAAUAUUCAUUACUCGAGAAGACCUGUUGUGCACUCGUGUGGGCCAUUAAGCAUCUUAGGCAGUACAUGCUUACCCAUACAACCUGGUUGGUACCUAAAAUGGAUCCUAACAAGUACAUAUUCGAGAAACCAGCUCUUACCGGUAGAAUUGCCCGAUGGCAGAUGUUGUUAUCAAAAUACGAUAUUCAAUACGUUGCGCAAAAGGCCAUCAAAGGAAGCGUGCUAGCAGACCAUCUUGCUCACCAACCGUUAGAGGAUUACAAACCUUUGAAGUUUGACUUCCCAGAUGAGGAAAUCAUGGUUGUUAAGGAUGUUGAAGACUCUGAACUAGAGGAGGGACUUGAUCCAAAAGCAAGUUGGACUCUCAUGUUCGACGGUGCUUCAAAUGCGAUAGGUCACGGAAUUGGGGCAGUAUUGAUGUCUCCCAAGAUUUUCCACCUGCCAUUCACCGCAAAGCUCUGUUUUACCUGCACAAAUAACAUGGUCGAGUAUGAAGCUUGCAUAUUGGGACUGGAAGAAGCUAUUGAGUUAAAGAUCAAGGUACUAGAGAUAUUCGGGGACUCCGCUCUAGUAAUACAUCAUAUCAGAGGUGAUUGGGAAACAAGACAUGCUAACCUAAUCCCAUACCGGGAUUACGUGCUGAGGUUGCUCCUAAAAUUUGACAAAAUCAUUUUCUUUCAUAUUCCUCGAGAAGAGAAUCAGAUGGCAGAUGCCUUAGCAACCUUGGCUUCCAUGUACAAGUUAAUAUGGCCUAAUCAUCAGCCUCACAUUGAAAUUAGGCGUUUUGAUGAACCUGCGCAUUGCCUGACAACAUCAGAAGAGCUAGAUGGUAAACCCUGGUUCUUUGACAUCAAAUAGUAUCUAGAGAAGCAAGAAUACCCGGCAGAGGCUUCCAGCCUUGAUAUAAGGACUAUACGGAGGUUGACAUCAAAGUUCCUUUUGAAUGGGGAGGUAUUGUACAAACAGAAUUAUGACAUGGUUUUGUUAAGGUGUGUGGACAAACAUGAAGCUAAUCAGCUUAUGAAGGACAUACACGAAGGGUCUUUCGGCACACACGCAAACAGGCAUGCAAUGGCGAAGAAGAUCCUAAGGGCAGGUUACUACUAGUUAACGAUAAAAGUCGAUUGUUAUCAUUACACCAGAGAAUGCUACAAAUGCCAAAUCUAUGCUGACAAAGUACAUGUACCGCCUACCCUGCUAAAUGUUAUAGCAUCACCUUGGCCAUUCUCUAUGUGGGGCAUCGACAUGAUCAGGAUGAUAGAACCCAAAGCGUCUAAUGGACAUAGAUUUAUCUUGGUGGCCAUAGACUACUUCACCAAAUGGAUUGAAGUCGCAUCUUAUGCAAAUGUCACGAAGCAUGUAGUCGCUCGUUUCUUAAAAAACAAUAUCAUAUGUCAAUACGGGAUUCCCAAUAAAAUCAUCACUGAUAACGGGUCCAAUCUCAACACCAAGACCAUGGAGGAGUUAUGCAUAACAUUCAAGAUUGAGCAACAUAACUCAUCACCAUAUCGACCUAAGAUGAAUGGGGCUGUUGAGGCUGCAAACAAAAAUAUCAAGAAAAUCAUCCAGAAGAUGGUAGCCACGUGCAGGGAUUGGCAUGAGAUGCUACCUUUUGCGUUACACGGUUAUCGUACAUCAGCACGAACUUCGACAGGGGCAACUCCUUAUUCCUUGGUAUAUGGCAUGGAAAUAGUCCUCCCUAUAGAAGUGGAAAUUCCUUCGAUGAGGGUCUUAAUGGAGGCUAAGUUAGACGAAGCGGAAUGGGUUCAAUCAAGGUUCGAUGAGCUCAACCUUAUUGAGGAGAAAUGCUUGAAGGUGUUGUGUCACUGUCAACUCUAUCAGAGGCGGCUUAAGAGGGCUUUCGACAAAAAAAGUAUGUCCUAGGGUAUUCCAAGAGGGAGAUUUAGUACUGAAGAAGAUCUUGCCCAUUCACAAGGAUUCCAGGGGGAAAUGGACACCAAAUUAUGAAAGUCCAUUUGGUGGUUAGAGCCUUUUUCGGAGGCGCUCUAAUCAUAGCGACUAUGGACGGUGAUGAAUUGCCACUUCCCACCAAUGCUGAUACUGUUAAAAAGUACUUUGCCUAAAAAAGUGGAAUAAUAAAAGUCGCUAAAUCGAAAACCUGAAAGGGCGAUUUAGGCAAAAAUGGCUAUCCCGGUGGAUCGAAGACCCGAAAGGGCGAUCUAGGCAAAAAUUAGGGAUAAAAAAUAAUAAAAUUGACCCGCUGAGUUGAAAACCCGCAAGGGCAAUCCAGACAAAAGUUAAGGAUAAAUUCCAAGGCAAAGAACUGUACUCUCAGGCAUCUAGCAUAUCCCUCGAAGACAAAGAAUCAAUCUACCUGACCUUUGCAAAAGCGAAGUACUCGGACUAUCAAAGAUAUAAGGAUCAUAGUAGUGUGGAGACUCAAUAUGAACUCAAUUUUAUUUCCAUUUUGUUUCUAUGCACAACCAUUACCUCAUUAAGGAAUUUCAUCUUUAUGUACAAUCGCCCAUUCAAGGGUCAGAUCAAUAAAGGAGAAAUUUUCUCGACAAAAGUUGUGCCCAAAUUAUUUUGUAUUUUAUCUGUUUGCUUGCAAAACACCUUUAUUUUUGAUAAACAUCACUCUCAAAGAUUUUGGAGAAAAUAAAAACACAUAAUUGAAUGAAGUGAUAAAAUUGCUUUUAGUAAAAGGGUAAAUCUCAUAGCUUCCAAGUUUGCUCUUGUUUUCAUUGGAGGUGUAAGACCGCUUGCAGGCACCUAUGUCCGUUCCAAUUGCUAAUCAAACACCUCUCAUAGAUGUACUCAUGGUAUAGCGAGACCUCGACAAGUCUCUAGUGCAUUUCUAGCGAAAAGAUUAAUAAAUCAUUAUUGAAGUAUUGCGUGUUGGAAAAGUCUGAACCCUUCAAGUGGCUUGGGGCAGCCCAAGUAUACUCCCAAAAUUACCCAACAGGGCAUCAAAUCUUGAUAUCCCUCAUAACAAAAGUACACACUGUUGGCAUCAUCACCAAAGCAAAAACGCCUUAACUAGAGCAUAUCCCAAUUACCCAUUUGCAUGCCCACAUACAUCACAUGCGCCAUAUGCAUCAAUUACAUAUGUAAUCUUCCUACCAAAACAGGAAAAUUCACCAAGAAACAAUCAUACCAAUCAUCGACAUACAUAUGCAUAGCCUUAUACAAUUUGCGUUCCUAUAUGCACAACUAAAUAUCCCCAGCAAUUGUAUGUUCGCAUAUAUUGCAUGCAUAAUUUCAUACAUGGUGUUUCCAUCCAAAAUGGAACAUCAUACAAAAAGUAUAACAUAAUUCAGGAUUCGGGAUCAAUCAUAUAUAUCCCAUAUUUUCCUCAUUUAAUUCGACAGGAUGACUACCCUGCAUGCGCUCAUGGAAUUAUUUCCUGGCCAGUCAUUUGUCAACUUUGUGAGUAAUAAUGAUAUUCCCCCAGCAUCUUUGCUACCACUGAUCCCCAAGUAGUAGGUUACUUUAAAAAUUCUCUUAUUAGUUGUUCCCCUGCAGAACAUUCCUAGUAAAUCUCUCCCCAAAAGGAGUAUUUUCUGAAAAUAUUUACACCAACAGACGAACAUCUGAGAUACUACUUCAUUUAUACGGAGUAUCUCAAUUGUCUGUUUGAGAUGCUGCCUCAUAAAUAUGAAGAGUCUCAUUCCUAUUUUCUUUUGAGAUAUUGCUCUAGUAUCCUCGAAGAGUCUUAGAUUAAAAUAAGACAUCAUUCCUUUGGUCUGGAAUAUCUUAAUUCUAUCAGAUAAGAUGAUGCUUCGACUCGAUACAGAGAAUCUCAUUUUUUGCUGUUUGAGAUGCUCCUUCAUCAAUAUGAAGAGUCUCAUUCCAGAUUUUUUUAGAGAUACUUCUCUAGUAUCCUCGAAGAGUCUUAGAUUCAAUUAAGACAUCAUUCCUUUGGUCUGGAAUAUCAUAAUUCUAUCAGAUAAUAUGCCGCUUUGACUCGAUACGGAGAAUCUCAUUUUUGUUGUUUGAGAUGCUGCUUCAUCAAUAUGAAGAGUCUCAUUCCAGAUUUUUUUAGAGAUACUGCUCUAGUAUCCUCGAAGAGUCUUAGAUUAAAUUAAGACAUCAUUCCUUUGGUCUAGAAUAUCUUAAUUCUAUCAGAUAAGAUGCUGCUUCAACUCGAUACAGAGAAUCUCAUUUUUGCUGUUUGAGAUGCUGUUUCAUCAAUAUGAAGAGUCUCAUUCCAGAUUUUUUUAGAGAUACUGCUCUAGUAUCCUUGAAGAGUCUUAGAUUCAAUUAAGACAUCAUUCCUUUGGUCUGGAAUAUCUUAAUUCUAUCAGAUAAGAUGCUGCUUCGACUCGAUACAGAGAAUCUCAUUUUUGCUGUUUGAGAUGCUGCUUCAUCAAUAUGAAGAGUCUCAUUCCAGAUUUUUUAGAGAUACUGCUCUAGUAUCCUCGAAGAGUCUUAGAUUCAAUUAAGACAUCAUUCCUUUGGUCUGGGAUAUCUUAAUUCUAUCAGAUAAGAUGCUGCUUCGAUAAGAUACAGAGAAUCUCAUCUUUGCUGUUUGAGAUACUGCUUCCUUAAUAUGAAGAGUCUCACUCAUUUUCAAAAUACUGUUCUGCUAAUUUUCAGAAAAUCUUGGGUACAGUUGAGGUAUCAUUCCAUUUUUGGAAAAUCUCGAUUGUGACAUCCAAGAUACUGUUCUGACAAUUCCCAGAGGGUCUUGAUCGUUUCAUUUUACCUCCUAAAAAUAUUUCUUACCAUAUUUCUCACUGCAUUUUCAUUCUGCAUUUAUUCCCUGCAUUUCAAAGGACAAGUUUCGGGUCUUUUUUGUAUUUAAUUAUCUUCCACCAUAAAUGCACGAAGACUGCUGUCAUUCAUACCUUCUAGUUCAAGGUAAUUAAAUAGGGGCAGCUGUCAUACCCCAAUUUCGUCCGGGAAAUUUUUGAAAAAAAACAACUUUCGUUAAAACAUUCCUAACCCAAAAGCAUCAUACAUGGACUCACAAUGUAGGGAUCCAUACUGGACCAAAGCUCCUAAUCUCUUUAUUUAUAACGUUGGUGAAUUUUCUCGUUUGCGUGGCAAAUCAUUUAUCUUGAGGCAUUUGAUCAAGCAUGAUCAUGCCUUGACCUGUUGAGGCUUAUCACAUGUGUGGUUGACCAUGAUAUCCAUUUAAUUUAUAACGUUGGUGAAUUUUCUCGUUUGCGUGGCAAAUCAUUUAUCUUGAGGCAUUUGAUCAAGCAUGAUCAUGCCUUGACCUGUUGAGGCUUAUCACAUGUGUGGUUGACCAUGAUAUCCAUUUGACUUCAUACCUCACUUCAUUCUGGAAUACCUACCUAUUCAAGACCAGUUAGUGAUUCUUGUUACUUGUUUACUAGUGUUGAUUCAGUGAUAUAUUUGUCCGUUCAUCUCCUCCAAACAUGGUGCAAUUCGAUUCAAGGGCUUGUUACCAUUUGGAACCAAAAAAUCCUUUACAUGUUUGUGCCGUAGUCUUUUUCCCCAAUCAAUUUCAUUUUUAAAGUUGUUUUCGUAGUUCCAAUUAAGUUGGUUCCCGAUCAAUUUCAGUUGCGAAUUUAUUCUCAAAGUCCCAAUUAAUUUGGUUCAAAAUCAAUUUUGGAUACUAAAUUUGAUUUUUUGAGGUUUAAGUUUAAUUUGGAGAAGUUAUUGCAUUGCUUGUCAAAAUAGCUUUAAAAAUCAUCAUUCUUUAUUGUUGUCAUUCCGAUUUGACUUUAGAAGUUCUUAAGAAACGUAAAGUUACUUCAUGCAUGGGCCAUGAUUUGUUUCUAAAUAUAACUCAUCCACUUUGUCAUUAUUAGGAUAAUAAGUUUUACAAUUCACAGAAAAUAGAUCUGGCCUUUAAAAAGUUUUUUUUUUCCGUUAACCCCCAAAAAAAAAAACUGUUUUUUUCCCCCCCCAAAAAUUUUCAAAAAACUUUUUAAAGGAAGGGGGGCCCAAAAAUACGGGAAAACCCAUUUUUUUUCAGGGGAAAGGGGGAAAAGAAGUUAAAAGCAAAAAUGUCCAAAGGGCACAUGUUGCCAUCAAAAUUACAAGCAAUGAUUAAGAUUACGAACAUAUGUUUUUCUCAUAAGCCAAGCUAAUGUUUUAAUCUUGCUACAUCAUAAUCAACACCGUGCUAACAGGGUUCGAGCGGAGAGAGUGAGCUAUGAUAUGGAAGCGUCCAUCUUUGAACUUCCUUUGCUAUAUUUCACUUCCGUUCGGGUGUGCCUCCAUGUGAUGAUUAACUGCAAUGUUCCAAAAUAAGGUCAAAAUUAAGAUAAGUAUCAGAUAGUUACAUCAUUUCUUUUAAAUAAAAUUCUAAUCCUAAAACAAGAUAAUCCUAAUUUAAUCCAAAAUGUAUUUGGGGACCACAAAGUAAACAAGGUACUAUU